AAUCUAAACAAAAUGAUAUAUUAAUUGAAUUGAACUUGAGGACCGAAAGUCACAAGGGAACCCAUAAAGGUGCAGAAUGUGAUGCUCAGUCUCCAAAAAGGUAAUUCUUAUUGACUAUUUUUUUCACAUUUUUACUUGUUAUUUUCUUGAGUCAUGGUUCCCUCUAAUACACUUGGUAUAUUGUUGUACAUUUUCUCAAUGUUAUUGGCUUAAUUUUUAUUUUACUUUUUACUUUUCAAUAGAGGGAAUGAGGAUCAAUCAAUUGAUGACAAUUCAAAAACUUAUCAAAGAGAAAGUUAUAAUGCUUUAAAAGCAAAGAGAAAGGAAUUGAAGAAGGAAAAUCAUAUUCUUACUUUCCAGAUUCAGGAGUGUGCAGAAUCCAGCAGGCAACUUAGAAUAGAGAACAAGAAGUUGCUGAAGGAACUGAAGCAAAUAUGCAGCAAGGACGAGAUCGCAAAACUUGAAGCCAUGGACCCUGAUAGAAAUUCAUCACCUCUUGAUGAUGACGAUGAAGAGCAGCACCAGACUUGUUCAGAAUCAUCGGGCGAGUUCAACCCUUCUCCAGAUUCCCAUUCAGAUGAGGAAGUAGGAGAUUCUGAUUCACACACACCCAUGCAAAUGGAAAAGGAAUGAACAAAUUUUGCAAAACAGAAUGAUGCACGAUGUGCUUGUAUGUUCAUAGAAUUCUAAAUACACUAGAGAAGUCAUUCAUACAAUCUGUAGAAGGUUUUAAUUUACCCUUUUGUAUUAGAGUUUUUGACAAUGCUCUUUCUCUCUACACUCUGCAUUUCAACUAUUUUAUCGGACUUGUUACUUUCAA